rnacentral:rRNA from 1 species
CUGGCGGCAGGCCUAAUACAUGCAAGUCGAGCGCGCCCUUCGGGGUGAGCGGCGGACGGGUGAGUAACGCGUGGGAAUAUGCCCUUCUCUAAGGAAUAGCCUCUGGAAACGGAGAGUAAUACCUUAUACGCCCUUUGGGGGAAAGAUUUAUCGGAGAAGGAUUAGCCCGCGUUAGAUUAGGUAGUUGGUGGGGUAAUGGCCUACCAAGCCUACGAUCUAUAGCUGGUUUGAGAGGAUGAUCAGCCACACUGGGACUGAGACACGGCCCAGACUCCUACGGGAGGCAGCAGUAGGGAAUCUUAGACAAUGGGGGCAACCCUGAUCUAGCCAUGCCGCGUGUGUGAUGAAGGCCCUAGGGUCGUAAAGCACUUUCGCCAGAGAUGAUAAUGACAGUAUCUGGUAAAGAAACCCCGGCUAACUCCGUGCCAGCAGCCGCGGUAAUACGGAGGGGGUUAGCGUUGUUCGGAAUUACUGGGCGUAAAGCGCACGUAGGCGGAUUAGUAAGUUAGAGGUGAAAUCCCAGGGCUCAACCCUGGAACUGCCUUUAAUACUGCUAGUCUUGAGUUCGAGAGAGGUAAGUGGAAUUCCGAGUGUAGAGGUGAAAUUCGUAGAUAUUCGGAGGAACACCAGUGGCGAAGGCGGCUUACUGGCUCGAUACUGACGCUGAGGUGCGAAAGUGUGGGGAGCAAACAGGAUUAGAUACCCUGGUAGUCCACACCGUAAACGAUGAAUGCCAGACGUCAGCAAGUAUACUUGUUGGUGUCACACCUAACGGAUUAAGCAUUCCGCCUGGGGAGUACGGUCGCAAGAUUAAAACUCAAAGGAAUUGACGGGGCCCGCACAAGCGGUGGAGCAUGUGGUUUAA